rnacentral:lncRNA from 1 species
GUUACGUCAUGUCGGCGCGACGACCACCCGCACUGGGAUGCAGCUCCAGGGCCUUUGAACAUGGUAGACAAGUACUCUACCCACUGAAAAUGUUUCCAAGGUUGGAUCUGAACUCCUAGACUCGAGUGAUUCUGCUACGUUGGCUUCCCAGGUAACUGACUACAUGAAUGUGCCACUUACUUGAUUUUAUCUCUAUGUGGAUAAGUCUUAGAAACAUGUAUCUUUAUAUUACCCGUCCCUUCAAAUCUCACCACUCAGUGUGUGUGUAUUUGUAUGUGUGGCUUGAACAAUUCAUAAUAGAUAAAUCUUGGAGGCAGCCUAUAUGCCCAUCAGUAAAUAAACAGAUUUUUAAAAAAGUGUUUAUACACAAUGGAGGACUACUCUGUCAUAAAGAAGGAAAAAUGAGUAUUUGUACAAAAAUAUGUACAACUUGAUACCAUAAUGUUACAUGAAAUAAAUUAGACACACAAGCUUAAAUGUGCAUGGCUUCUCUUAUAUGAGAAACCCAAAAUAGAAAUAAAGAGCAAAAUAAAAGAUAGUUGGAAGUAAGGAGAUAGAUCUUUUGCAAAUGAGAAGGGUACUAAAAGAUGGAAGGGACAAGAAACGACAGGGGAAAGGGUAUAAAAAAAAUUAAGAUGCAUUAUAUACAUGUACCAACUCCUUAUGAGGAAUGUAAUCAUUAUGUAUGCAAAUAUGUACUGAUAAAAAACUGGAAAAAUAUAUGGUGUGAAUAGUGCCAUAUAUAUGGCAUCUACAACAGUGCUUAUUGCAGAGUUGGCAGGCAAUAUUUGUUGAAUGAACUUGAACAUUCUGCUGUCUCUUGACCUUUUAAUUACACCUAAUACUUUUCCCAAGUCUCCAUUUCUGUUGGUUGGUGUAGCAAUUUUCCUUCUUUCAUGGGUUUUAUGUUUUAUUUUUAUUUACUUUUUAUUCUUCAAAAUCAAUCACUCUAGGUCCUUUGGAAAUCUCUUUGUAGUCUUUUAUGUUUCAUCAGGCAUUGUCUCACACCUUCAGAGUAAUCCCCUAAAAUGCUCCCUAGAUAAUGUAAUUUUCCCAGAAAAGAACAUAUGCCAUAAUAUGAAUACAGGAGCAAAGUUUUGCGUGUAUGUAGAGCAGACGCUAGCUAAGUGUCCAGUACACCAGUCUGCGACUACGACUUCAAUUCGAAUGCUGGUAAAAUUGUGAUUAUGUCGUGAGUAUUCACAGUCUUUCAUUUGAUAGUUGAAACCACCUAUAAUAAUACUGUAAAUUCCAAGUAUGAAAAUAAAUGAGAACAAGCAAAGAAUAUUUAGAGUCAGUCUCUGUAUCCAUGGGUUCCAUAUUCAUGAAUUCAACCAACUACAGAUAGAGAAUAUUCAAGAAAAAAUUGUAUCUGUACUAAACAUACAAAGCUUAUUUUGGUGGCAUUAUUCCCUAAACAAUACCAUACAAAAACUAUUAAACAUAUCAUUUACUUUGUAUUAGGUAUCAUAAGUAAUCUAGAGAUGGUUUAAAGUAUAUGAGAGUAGAUACACAGGUUAUAUGCAGAUUUUAUAUGUGGGACUUGAGCAUCCUCAGAUUUUAACAUCAGUGGGGUCCUGGAACCAACCUCCCAGGGAUACCAAGGGACAGCUUGCAUUCACUACUUGCUGUAGCAAAGCAGACAGCCACUAUCACCUGUGUUUUAUGAUGACUUCAAGGCAAACAGGAUAGUGCAGUGAUUCCCUCCCACCCGGAUUGGAAGUUGAGGGCAUGAAUUUGGCUUUUUCCAGUUGAUCCUAAGUGGGAAAUGGAACCAAACUAAGAAAACACAGUCAUCAGUGAGGCCUAGGCCAUUUUGUGUUGAUUGCUGCAGAGAUUGUGGUUGCCUUUCUGAACCGGUUGCUACAGAGAUUGUGAGUCAGAGUUCUAUUUUUUAUAUACAAUCUGGCCAUUGCUUGUUUGUAAGUUCAGUCUCUCACAAGAUUCUACUUUGUAUCAUCCUGUUUUCUGCAGUACAUACCAGAAUACUGGGCACAUGCUUGGCUUGAUAAGCAUUUAUUGAUUUCAUGUGCUUGUAAGAUGAUCAAAUGGAUUGAGAUUCACAAAUUUAAACAAAAUAUGUAUUGUAUAAAAAACACUUCUUUGGAAUUUGAACCUUAGUGCAUUUUAUGGAGUAAAUCAUAUGCUCUAGUAGAAGUCAUAAACUUGGGAGGUUCUGAGAUAUCUAAGGUAUUAGGGUUAUCUUAUGCAAUCAAGCCCUAGAUUUCUUGGAGGUUAUGGACAAAUUGGACAAGCAAGAUAGUAGCAGGGAUCUGAAUAAAAGUUUCCAACAUAUUUGGAAUAAGGACCUCUUUUUUUUUUUUUUUUUUUUUUUUUUUUGGUACUGGGGAUCGAACUUGGGACCUUGCACUUGGGAGGCAGGCACUGGCACCAUUGAGCUAAAUCCCCGGCCCCUGGAAUAAGCACCUCUUAAAAGUGCAUGACUGAUUCCCAUUCAUUCCCAUGUUUUGAGGGCAUGAACCAGAGUUCGAAGACAUGAUCUCUUCCUGUAGAUAUAGGUAGGGAAGACUUCAAAAAAGAUGUAGAGGGCUGGGGAUUUAGCUCAGUGGUUCCGCUGCCUGCUUCGCAAGCUCAAGGUCUUGAGUUUGUUCCCUGGUACCAAAAAAAAAAGAUGUAGAAUCUGAGUUUGAUUUUAAUAAUGAGUAUAUUUUAUAAGGGAAGAAAAGAGUUUUUUCCUGAGUAAAAACAUAUGUCCAUGAGAAAAAGUUCUAUCCAAAGACAAGUUAUAAAACUGGUUUGGCAAAGCACAGUGUAUAUGUGGUGAAGCAAUAGAAAAUUAAACAGGUCAGAUGAGUUCUGUGAAGAUUGAAGCAUGCUAUGGAAACUAAGCAAAAGAAUGUGCACCUCUAAUUCAUAUGUGUAUUCAUGUGUGUUGAGAACCUAUGGCCUUUUAGGUAAAAGAAAAUACCUUUAGGGCCGGGAAUUUAGCUCAGUGGUUUCACCUCCUGCUGCACAAGCCCAAGGACCCAAGUUCGAUCCCCCCGUACCAAAAAACAAAGAAACAAACAAACAAGAAAAUACCUUUAGGCAAGUACUGUACCACUGAGCUACACUCUCAGCUGGAGAGAAACACUUAGUAAACCAGACAUUAUUGAGUAGCCAUGUGCUGCAGUGUUGUACUAUUGUAGGAGGACCCAUGGGGCCUGCCCUCAAGGAUAUCAUGUCAUAAACAAAACUGAUAAUCUAAUUAGGGCAGAUAUUUGCUAAGCUGGAAAACACUGAAUCUAAAUGCAUUUUUUUCUCCUCUUAGCACUCUGCCUUGAUUGAUGCCAAAUCAAUGCUUGUUUUGAAAAUGGUCUCACUUGAAUGUCACUUCCUUUCAUAUCUUACUACAGAAGGCAUAAUUUUCCAGGAAUUGGAUGAAAAAGUAAAAGACCCAUCUCACUGGCUUCUGAGAAAUUCAAAAUAGCACUGUCUAUGCCCAUUUUGUAUCUUCAGCCAGCCGACCCAGCUCCCUAGUAGACUAGUAGCACUACCAAAGAGGAGCACUGAUAAUGUUAGUGACAUAUAUGCUCACUUCCCAAACAUUCUCUUGACCCUUCAUCUUCUACUUGCUCACUUAUUUCCUAUGUGGUCUGAUCCAGACACCAGAUAGCACUCACACAGUACAAUUUUGGCUCUCUUCUCUUUUGCAUUGACACAUGAGCUCUUAUCUGCUUCUAAUCUCUCAGUGAACCACCCAGCCUUGGCAGCUAGUUCCUGGAACCCUUCCCCAGACCAUGUGGCCCAUGUACAGCCUGGAUUGCUUAUUUUCCCACAGGAGAAUAUUUGAAUAAAUAAAUAAAUAGAUUAUUGCCAUGAUACAUAUAACAGGUUGUUAUAUGUCACUUUUCCUAUUUUCUCCUGCCUUGAGCAGAGGCUGCCAAAGCAUAGAAAAAACAAUAAUUAACAGUUAUUUAAAUAAAGACAGUCAUGUUCUAAGCUAAGGUAUUACCUUACCUUAUCAAUGUAGGAGUAUUCCAACCCAGUUUUAUUAUCAGUACAACACACAUGUCCAGGCUGUGUCUAUGUAACAGACAACUACUUGAAGAAUUUGUAAGUGGGCAGGUAAACAAGACAAGAUUCAUGUUUCCCAGCAGAAACAAAUCAUGAAAACAAAGAUCUGCAUUUGGAAUAUAUCAUAUCUCCCAGAAGUAGCAUUCCAUGAGAACUAGAUUUACAUCUGGUGUCCUGGUAAAAAGUCUAACAUCCACAUAAUUCAUCUCCAGGAGAAAAGCCUAGAUUUGUUAGUGUUUCUGGUUUCCAUGGUCUGAGUCCAUGAUUCUGACUCCCACCAUAAGCAACUUUAAACUACCAACAUGACAUCAGUGAACAUGUAGUUGGGAAAGUGUACAGUAGGACACCAUUAUAGAAUAUUUUCAUCAUGCAGAUUCAAUAGAUAUAAGUAAACUCAAGAACAAACACACUAGAAAAGUGUUCAGUAGUUAAAUAAUUAGGAAGUAAUGAGAACUUACUAACUAUGUUUAAUAUAUUUAAUUAUAAAUUUAUAUACAAUUUAAUUUUUAAUGAGGGCUGGAUAUAACAACCACCUGAAAAGUUCCAGAUAAUCUAACUACCAGCUCUCUUGAGUCAAUACAGACAAAUUCCAACCUACCACUAUAGCAUUCAAAGAAGGCACUAAUGCCAGGUUACAACAGCCAGACCACUCAAGUGAGACCUUUCCUCCUUAACCAGCCUCCUUCUUCUACCCUGUCCCUUAUCCAUGGAGGCAUCAGACAUAGCCUGGUGAGUGUGGAAAAGGGAACAGAACAAGCAAGAUGAGGGAAAAAGAAGCCAGCCAAGUUUUUCUUUCAACUGUAAGUUUUUAGGCCCAAAACAUCCCUAACCUGGAAGAAGUAAAAAUUAAAUUGAAUAAUUGUUAGGAUUUAUAACAUUAGACUAAAGAACUACUAGUGUCUAAAAGAAUCCAAAAAGCCAACCAAAUUCCUACUCUUUCAUUCUGAGACAGUAAAGAACAAAUAGAGUGAGUGAGUUUAUAGGGAAAAAAUUGAGAAAAAUAACUAUUUUCCCUUUGUGCCCUACAAAGUCUAGUUCAUUCAAGAAACAAACAGUUGGGGCCAAGGAUUUAACUCUGGCACUGUGCCUGCCUCACAACCACAAGGUCCUAAGUUUGAUCCCCAGUAUCGGAAAAAGAAAACAUACACUUUACAUAUUCCUGUAUAAUAAAUUUCUCUGAAACUUAGCAUCUUAAAAUAUUAUUUCAAAACUGAAGCUUGGCAUGGUGGUGCAAACCUGCAAUCCU